rnacentral:rRNA from 1 species
AUACUGCAAGUCGAGCGAAUGGAUUGAGAGCUUGCUCUUAUGAAGUUAGCGGCGGACGGGUGAGUAACACGUGGGUAACCUGCCCAUAAGACUGGGAUAACUCCGGGAAACCGGGGCUAAUACCGGAUAAUAUUUUGAACUGCAUGGUUCGAAAUUGAAAGGCGGCUUCGGCUGUCACUUAUGGAUGGACCCGCGUCGCAUUAGCUAGUUGGUGAGGUAACGGCUCACCAAGGCAACGAUGCGUAGCCGACCUGAGAGGGUGAUCGGCCACACUGGGACUGAGACACGGCCCAGACUCCUACGGGAGGCAGCAGUAGGGAAUCUUCCGCAAUGGACGAAAGUCUGACGGAGCAACGCCGCGUGAGUGAUGAAGGCUUUCGGGUCGUAAAACUCUGUUGUUAGGGAAGAACAAGUGCUAGUUGAAUAAGCUGGCACCUUGACGGUACCUAACCAGAAAGCCACGGCUAACUACGUGCCAGCAGCCGCGGUAAUACGUAGGUGGCAAGCGUUAUCCGGAAUUAUUGGGCGUAAAGCGCGCGCAGGUGGUUUCUUAAGUCUGAUGUGAAAGCCCACGGCUCAACCGUGGAGGGUCAUUGGAAA